rnacentral:tRNA from 1 species
GUGGCUCAAUGGUUGAGCAUUCAGCUGCUAACAGAAAGGUUGGUGGUUUGAACCCACCC